CUUCUCUUCGCAUCCUACUUGGUUACACGAGCAGCUGACUCUUAAUCAGCGGGUCCGGGGUUCGAGCCCCCGAUCGCCCCCCA
rnacentral:tRNA from 1 species